rnacentral:rRNA from 1 species
UACGUAGGAUGCAAGCGUUAUCCGGAAUCACUAGGCGUAAAGGGUGCGUAGGCGGGUUAUCAAGUCUCGAGUGAAAUCCAACGGCUUAACCGUUGAACUGCUUGGGAAACUGGUAGCCUAGAGUGAGGGAGAGGCAGAUGGAAUUGGUGGUGUAGGGGUAAAAUCUGUGGAGAUCACCAGGAAUACCCAUUGCGGAGGCGAUCUGCUGGAACUCAACUGACGCUGAGGCACGAAAGCGUGGGGAGCAAAC